rnacentral:rRNA from 1 species
UACGGGGGAGCAAGCGUUGUUCGGAUUUACUGGGCGUAAAGGGCGCGUAGGCGGUCACUACAAGUCAGUUGUGAAAUCUCUGGGCUUAACUCAGAACGGUCAACUGAUACUGUCGAACGUAGAGUGACAGAAGGGGCAACUGGAAUUCUCGGUGUAGCGGUGAAAUGCGUAGAUAUCGAGAGGAACACCGUGGCGAAGGCGGGUCUCUGGGCCGAUAAACUGACGCUGGAGGAGCGGAAAGCCGUGGGGAGCGAACAGG